CCUACGGGAGGCAGCAGUGGGGAAUAUUGGGCAAUGGGCGCAAGCCUGACCCAGCAACGCCGCGUGAAGGAAGAAGGCUUUCGGGUUGUAAACUUCUUUUGUCAGGGAAGAGUAGAAGACGGUACCUGACGAAUAAGCCACGGCUAACUACGUGCCAGCAGCCGCGGUGAUACGUAGGUGGCAAGCGUUGUCCGGAUUUACUGGGUGUAAAGGGCGUGUAGCCGGGUUGACAAGUCAGAUGGGAAAUCCUGCGGCGUAACCGCAGAACUGCAUUUGAAACUGUUGAUCUUGAGUACUGGAGAGGCAGACGGAAUUCCUAGUGUAGCGGUGAAAUGCGUAGAUAUUAGGAGGAACACCAGUGGCGAAGGCGGUCUGCUGGACAGCAACUGACGGUGAGGCGCGAAAGCGUGGGGAGCAAACAGGAUUAGAUACCCCUGUAGUC
rnacentral:rRNA from 1 species